AUUCAUUUCAAUUCUGUUACAGAGCUCUGAAGUUCUGACAAGCUGUGAGCAGUUCUUCAAUCAGCAUGCAAGUGCAGUAAUGAAGAAAGUCAAGAACUGUGCAUGCCACCAGCAAUAUCAGUGCUGAGGAAUUCAUGCAGCUUGUCUGAGCCCUCAUCAUUUCUUUCCAGCAGGUCAAGAACUAGUUCAAAAGUAAUGAUUCUCUUGAAUGGCAGUGAAUGUGAGAUGAUGCCCUUCCAGGCACUGUGCUCAUUCUUGAUUUAUGCUUUUAAAAAGUUAGAACUAAAGACAUUCAUUCCUGCACCCCCAAAUAUUUGUGCCAGACUUGAAUCAAAUUGACAGCCAUUUUGACCAAUAACUUUUCAUCCUUCAUAGGCAGGUCACAAACAAAUUUUACUCCAAAAAGCUAUUUUUUUAAAGUUUAAGAAAGGAGCCUAUGUUUACAUUUCUGACUGGACUGUGAAUUUGGAAAAAGAAAAAUUACAAAACUUUGAGACAGCAUUACAUCUAAAAGACAUUAGUAAGUAUUCUGGAUGACUCCUUCCCUUUACCCUCAAUCUCAAAUGACUAAAAUACAUUCUCUUGGACUUCUUCACUCUACUCAUGUAUUCACUUAUUCAUGAAGGAUUAUAUUAAAUUAUAUAAAGGAAAUUUAUUUGAGUUCUUAGGGGAAAAGGCCACAUAAUAAUUGUAGCAUUCAUUUUAAUUGUAAAUGUCUUCUUUUAUAUUUUUAUGUGUAAUAUCUAUUUCCAUCUGUAAACUGCAGUUUGAUGAUGGUAAUCCUUCACAAUAACUUUAAAGAGAUAAAAAGAUAAGCCCUUAUAAUGUACUCCCUACAUUUAUUCACUUAUAUUUGUUGCAGUAGUAGAAUAAGCAUUUAGCUUUUCCUUUAACACUGGAUUUCUGUUUUAAAAUAUGCAAAAUGGAAUAUUUGAAAAUACUGCUAUCAAAAAUUAAAGGUAACAUAGACUCUGGCAAAUAUCAUCUCUUUCUCAAACAGGGAAGAAUGGGAAGAGGAAAUAUUCCUGCUUCUGAGAUAUCCUUUAGAUCGGUUCAGACAAGUCAUGCCUCAUGCAAUGCUCUCAAGAUCAAUGAGGCUUGUUAAAGAGUGACUUCCUGAAGUCACUUUGUAUAAAUUAUUCACCAAGAACUUCACAGUUUUUAUGGUCUUUUAAGACAAUGAUUUAACAAAUCUCAAAGGCAUGUCAAUUUAAAGUAUUGAUCCAAAGCUUGGAGCUUCAGCUAAUUAUACCCAAAGAUCACAGGUUGAUAAAGUUUUCAAAACUAGGCUAAAAAGUUAGGUGGAUUAAUUUAAGUGAUCUAUAACAUUCCUUCCUUAGGAACAAGUUUAAAACACUGUGAAAAUGUUCUUUACAGCAAUGGCAUCACUUUUGCCUCCUGCCAAAAGUGGGAAGUGUACAAAGCCCGAAGAGAAAAGAUAUUCAUAUUAGAAGAAUUCAGCAAAUUUCCUGGAACUUCAGUCCCCUCUCAUGUGUUUAGAAAUUUAAUUUAUUAUCCUACUGCCCUGAAGAUAUAAUUUAAUCUAAAAUAAUUUGGCUGUAAUUUCAAUCUUUUACAUCUUUGACUCUUUUCUGUGUGACUGUAUCCUUUUGUGAGUGUAAAUACCAGGCAUUUAGAAAAUUCUAUGUAGAGAGGUUAUAGUUAAUGAAAGAAACACAUAACUUUGCAUUUCAAAAAAAGUAAAAAAAAACCCACAAAAACUAAUUUUGGCACAGUUAAGAGAAGGACAAAAUAGCAUAGAACAUUUAGAAAAUGCUGCAAAUAUACUUUGCAACCUUCUUUUUUAAUUCAGUCUCAGAGAAAAUAGCUUCAUUCAGCUUUAUUAGUGUUUUGAAGAGUUCUAUAUCCUUUUUGAAAUAUAUUUUUAGUGGUCAAAGGUAAAAUAUAUUGCAUUCUGCUAUACAGCUAUACUGAAAUACCCUUGUUAAAGAGAGCCUUCAGUAAAUGCUACUUUGAAACUGAGCUUGAAAAAUGACAAAUCUUAGAACUACUUUUUUUUUGUCUAAAACAAGAAGUGAUCAGCUAUUCUGCCACUGUCCACUCUUGCCUGAAAACCCUUUUGGGGAAAAGUGUGAAAAAUUAGUGAAGGAUGAAAUAAUUUCCAGAUGAAAUUAGCUUUUUGGUUAAAGAAAACAGAAGCAAACAGAAGGAGAAUAAACAUGAUUUAUGUUUCUGUUUUGUUCCAUAUGCACCAAUUACAAACAAAUUUAGCUCCUGGUGGCCAGAAACCCUAAGGAUCUUGUGAUGUGUAUUCCUGUUAGUCUCUAAUCCUAUAUUAAAUAUUGUACUGAGGCCUGUUAAACAUUGAUAAGCUAUUUUUCCACUGCAUGGUCCUCUGAGAUGAUUGUGCCUAAAUGCCAUAAAGACCUGGAUUAGGUUUAUGCAUUGUUGUGCUGGUUUAGAUACAUCUUAGCUCUCAGUCUUAUCUUUCCAAGGGACAAAGUCAGCCUGACUGUAUAUUAAUAUUGGUAUCAUUGUAGUGAUUAACUGUUCAAAUCUGAAAAAAAAA